rnacentral:rRNA from 1 species
AUUGAACGCUGGCGGCAUGGCUAAAACAUGCAAGUCGAACGUGUGUAGCAAUACACAAGUGGCGAAAGGGUCAGUAAUGCGAUCGAAUGUACCCUGAGGUGGGGAUAGCUACGGGAAACUGUAGGUAAUACGUCGUAAGCAGCAUUGUAGAGAGACAGUGCUGGAAAGGCUGGGACCGCAAGGCCAGUCGCCGAAGGAUGAGCCCAUGUCCCAUUAGCUAGUUGGUAGGGUAAAGGCCUACCAAGGCUAAGAUGGGUAGCUGGUCUGAGAGGAUGAUCAGCCACACUGGAACUGAGACACGGUCCAGACUCCUACGGGAGGCAGCAGUGGGGAAUAUUGCGCAAUGGACGAAAGUCUGACGCAGCAACGCCGCGUGAGUGACGAAGGCCUUUGGGUUGUAAAGCUCUUUCGGCCGGGAAGAAGGGCAAGGGUGUUAAUAG